rnacentral:rRNA from 1 species
GCGGAGGGAUCAUUACCGAGUUUACAACUCCCAAACCCCUGUGAACAUACCUAUACGUUGCCUCGGCGGAUCAGCCCGCGCCCCGUAAAAAGGGACGGCCCGCCCGAGGACCCCUAAACUCUGUUUUUAGUGGAACUUCUGAGUAAAACAAACAAAUAAAUCAAAACUUUCAACAACGGAUCUCUUGGUUCUGGCAUCGAUGAAGAACGCAGCAAAAUGCGAUAAGUAAUGUGAAUUGCAGAAUUCAGUGAAUCAUCGAAUCUUUGAACGCACAUUGCGCCCGCCAGUAUUCUGGCGGGCAUGCCUGUUCGAGCGUCAUUUCAACCCUCAAGCUCAGCUUGGUGUUGGGACUCGCGGUAACCCGCGUUCCCCAAAUCGAUUGGCGGUCACGUCGAGCUUCCAUAGCGUAGUAAUCAUACACCUCGUUACUGGUAAUCGUCGCGGCCACGCCGUAAAACCCCAACUUCUGAAUGUUGACCUCGGAUCAGGUAGGAAUACCCGCUGAACUUAAGCAUAUCAAUAAAGCGGAAGGA